rnacentral:rRNA from 1 species
GUGUCUCUAUCAGAGUUUGAUCCUGGCUCAGGAUGAACGCUGACAGAAUGCUUAACACAUGCAAGUCGACUCGAGUCUUCGGACUUGGGUGGCGCACGGGUGAGUAACGCGUAUCCAACCUUCCGGUUACUCGGGGAUAGGCCUUCGAAAGAAAGAUUAAUACCCGAUGUUGCGUAUCUUUCUCCCGAAAGAUACGCCAAAGGAUUCCGGUAACCGAUGGGGAUGCGUUCCAUUAGGCAGUUGGCGGGGUAACGGCCCACCAAACCUUCGAUGGAUAGGGGUUCUGAGAGGAAGGUCCCCCACAUUGGAACUGAGACACGGCCCUU